UACGAAGGGAGCUAGCGUUGUUCGGAAUCACUGGGCGUAAAGCGCACGUAGGCGGAUGUGUCAGUCAGGGGUGAAAUCCCGGAGCUCAACUUCGGAACUGCCUCUGAUACAGCACGUCUUGAGUCCGAUAGAGGUGGGUGGAAUUCCCGGUGUAGCGGUGAAAUGCGCAGAUAUCGGGAAGAACACCCGUGGCGAAGGCGGCUCUCUGGGACGGUACUGACGCUGAGACGCGAAAGCGUGGGGAGCGAACAGG
rnacentral:rRNA from 1 species